UCAAGCUACAAAGAGCACAAGGGGAAUGCCUUGGCACCGAGAGCCGAAGAAGGACGUGACUAACUGCGAUAAGCUGCGGGGAGCCGUAAGUAGGCUUUGAUCCGCAGAUUUCCGAAUGGAGCAAUCCGGCAAGAGGAAAGUCUUGUCAUCAUAUACUGAAUACAUAGGUAUAUGAGGGGAACCGCCUGAACUGAAACAUCUAAGUAGGGCGAGGAAGAGAAAUCAACUGAGAUUCCGUAAGUAGUGGCGAGCGAACGCGGAAGAGGCCAAACCGAGAGUAGUAAUACUUUCGGGGUUCGGACAGAAAACGGUAUUGUAAAGGUUUAGUGGAAUGGAAUGGGAAGUCCAACCGAAGAAGGUGAGAGUCCUGUACACGAAAAGCCUGAACAGCCAUCUGUAUCCAGAGUACCGCCGGACACGUGAAACCCGGUGGGAAUACGGGGGGACCAUCCUCCAAGCCUAAAUACUACUCGGUGACCGAUAGUGAAGAAGUACUGUGAAGGAAAGGUGAAAAGUACCCCUGACGGGGAGUGAAAAAGAACCUGAAACCUUGUGUUUACAAGCACCGAAAGCUCAUCAAAGAGCGAUCGGGUACCUUUUGUAGAAUGGUCCGGCGAGUGAAUGUAACCGGCGAGGUUAAGCACUUAAGGUGUGAAGCCGCAGCGAGAGCAAGUCUGAAUAGGGCGUAUGAAGUCGGUUGUAUUCGACCCGAAACCGGGUGACCUACCCAUGGUCAGGUUGAAGUAAAGGUAAAACUUUAUGGAGGACCGAACCGACUCCCGUUGAAAUGGUAGCGGAUGAACUGUGGGUAGCGGAGAAAUUCCAAUCGAACCCGGAGAUAGCUGGUUCUCUCCGAAAUAGCUUUAGGGCUAGCCUUGAAAUAGAUUACCGGAGGUAAAGCACUGAAUUGGCUAGGGGCCGAGAGGUUACUGAACCUUAUCAAACUAAGAAUGCCGGAUAAUCGUUUUUCAGGAGUCAGACAGUGGGAGAUAAGUUUCAUUGUCCAAAGGGAAACAGCCCAGACCCACAGCUAAGGUCCCCAAGUAUAGUUAAGUGGAAAAGGAUGUGGAAUUGCACAGACAACCAGGAUGUUGGCUUAGAAGCAGCCACUCAUUAAAAGAGUGCGUAAUAGCUCACUGGUCGAGUGACUCUGCGCCGAAAAUUUAACGGGGCUAAACUAUACACCGAAGCUUGGGAUACAUCUAAUGUAUGGUAGGAGAGCGUUCUGUAUGGGGAGAAGUCGUAGCGAAAGCGGCGGUGGACUAUACAGAAGUGAGAAUGCCGGAAUAAGUAGCGAGAAUUAAGUGAGAAUCUUAAUGGCCGAAAGUCUAAGGUUUUUGGAGGAAGGUUCGUCCGCUCCAAGUAAGUCGGGAGCUAAGGUCAGGCCGAAAGGCGUAGCCGAUGCACAUACGGUUGAUAUUCCGUAACCAUCUGUAAUUUAAGCAAAGGGACACUUCAAAAGGGUGUGACCCGGGCGUUGGUUGACCCGGGCGUAAGGGACCGAAAUUAGAGUAGGGAAGCACACUUGGCUGAAGGCGAGAAAAGCUUUGCGUAUAGAAACAGAUGCCCGUACCGCAAACCGACACAGGUGGACAGGAAGAGAAUUCUAAGGCCAGCGGGAGAAGGGUAGUUAAGGAACUCGGCAAAUUGACUCCGUAACUUCGGAAUAAGGAGUGCUCGAAAGAGCCGCAGAGAAUAGGCCCAGGCGACUGUUUAGCAAAAACACAGGUCUCUGCCAAAUCGAAAGAUGAAGUAUAGGGGCUGACACCUGCCCGGUGCCGGAAGGUUAAGAGGAGGAGUGAGAGCUCCGAAUUGAAGCCCCGGUAAACGGCGGCCGUAACGAUAACGGUCCUAAGGUAGCGAAAUUCCUUGUCGGGUAAGUUCCGACCCGCACGAA
rnacentral:rRNA from 1 species